GACGAACGCUGGCGGCGUGCUUAACACAUGCAAGUCGAACGGAAAGGCCCUGCUUUUGUGGGGUUCUCGAUUGGCGAACGGGUGAGUAACACGUGAGUAACCUGCCCUUGACUUUGGGAUAACUUCAGGAAACUGGGGCUAAUACCGGAUAGGAUCUCCUGCUGCAUGGUGUUGGUUGGAAAGUUUCGGCGGUUGUGGAUGGACUCGCGGCUUAUCAGCUUGUUGGUGUGGUAGUUGCUUACCAAGGCUUUGACGGGUAGCCGGCCUGAGAGGGUGACCGGCCACAUUGGGACUGAGAUACGGACCAGACUCCUACGGGCGGCAGCAGUGGGGAAUAUUGCACAGUGGGCGGAAGCCUGAUGCAGCAACGCCGCGUGCGGGAUGACGGCCUUCGGGUUGUAAACCGAUUUCGCCUGUGACGAAGAGUGAGUGACGGUAAUGGGUAAAGAAGCAACGGCUAACUACGUG
rnacentral:rRNA from 1 species